CGGGAUGUAGUUAUGAAGAACGCUGGCUUUGGGGGUCAGCAGAGGGGGUUUAAAUCCCUCCGUCUCGA
rnacentral:tRNA from 1 species